rnacentral:rRNA from 1 species
UACGGAGGGUGCAAGCGUUGUCCGGAUUUAUUGGGUUUAAAGGGUGCGUAGGUGGCCCGUUAAGUCAGCGGUGAAAUCCCGGGGCUCAACCCCGGAACUGCCGUUGAUACUGGCGGGCUUGAGUUCGGUGAAGGCGGGCGGAACUGGCGGUGUAGCGGUGAAAUGCUUAGAUACCGCCAAGAACCCCGAUUGCGUAGGCAGCUCGCUGUGCCGAAACUGACGCUGAGGCACGAAAGCGUGGGGAGCGAACAGG